ensembl:lncRNA
GUUUCCCUCUGCGCUGGGAGCAGUUUGAUGAAGAUUUUUAAGUGAAAAAAAAAAAGAAAAAAAGAAGAAGCGUAUUUUGAGUGGCUUACCAAGGCUGAAGGCGUCCAGGUUCCCAAAGGGUUCCAGGUGUCGGUACCUGAGAACGGCUGGUUUAAUGCUGCGCCGUGUCGAGCUAAAAGCAGUGGGAGGAUGUUGAGACGCCUAUCGCAUGUAAUCAGAAGUAAUUACACUCUACAGAUACCAGCCACAACGAUUCUUGCUGUACCGAGAUGCGUUACAUCUUUUUGUGCUGAGAGAAUUUUAGUGUGGUAGGGAAAAUAUUCCAUCACAGAACUGCAGCCACGACAAAAUGAAGGCAGAAUGUGUGUUUUUACACACAGAAUAUGCAGAACAGCAGGUAUGCAGGGACUGUGUGUUGGUUUACCUACGCAAUACUUCUGUUCCUUUGUCUACAUCCAACUGAGGUGACGUUUUUUCUCUUGCUUUAAACUUUUCCUAAGCAUUAUGUGGCCAGCAGGGUGAAUUUGCACGAAUCCGUAUUCCAAAACUUGGAUCCUACUGAAAUUGAAAUCUGUGAAGUGUUUCAAUUGCUGCAGAGUAAGUGGGCUCUGACUCCUAAUACAACUGCUUAGAUGAAGCUCUCACUGCUGAGCCAGCAACGCGGGCUGUCCAUACAAGGUGCUCAUUACCUCAUGCUUUUGGUGUCAGCCAAGCUUCUGCCUCUAAUUUUUCCAUACAUCUAAAAUUUGUACUGAUGAAACACAGGAAAAGAAAGAAAGAAAGAAAGGAAAAAAAAAAAAACAGCAACAACCAACCAAGAGGUUCACAGAGAUAAAUGACUCUGCUGCAGCUUUGAAGGGCUGUUUUUGUCUGUUUUGUCUUCAUCUUGAACUAUUUAGGGAGGUGCUUUCUUGUGUCUUUUGUCACUUGAAAAUCCCAUUUAGCCUCAGUGGAAUCACAUACAUGGCACUGGGGAAUUAUCCUGUGGUUGAAGACAUUCCCCUUCACCCGGAGCUGAAACCUGCUGUCAUAACAGAGGGAAAGCUAUUUUCACCACUGUCAGAAGAAGCAUCCGGCAUCUGAGAUAACAGCUUUUGAAAGAGCACAGAAACUGUUAUCAGUUUUGUCUUUUUAACACAGGCAGUUUAAAAAACUUUCACCCUCAGUUCAGGGACGCUCGCUGGGGAUUGCUGUUGCCAAGGAUGGCUUAAGGCCUUCAGGUGGACAGAGAAGACACGGUGUGCAAACAGAAAAAGUUGAGCCAGCAUUUUCCAGCUGAAUGUGAUAAAAAUAAAACAGAGGCAGCAAAAUGCAAAAAAUCCUCACUGAAGGCAAAAAACAACCCGGCCUCAUUCAACAGCAAACAGCAC